AAGGAUACAUAAUACUUGAAUGAAAAAAAAUUAUCCUUUUAUUAAUCAUAUCAAUAUAUUAAGUAUAAAAUUAUGCUCUAGAAUUAUUAUAAUGCGUCAGCCAUAUUGGCUUCUAGGACACACAUCUAACACAAGUGACUAACCUGCUGAGCAUUCCACUGUCAAGAACUGCUUACGUAGCAUAUGGGCAUAAAUGUCCCUCAGACCU
rnacentral:lncRNA from 1 species